rnacentral:rRNA from 1 species
GAUGAACGCUGGCGGCGUGCUUAACGCAUGCAAGUCGAACGAUGAAGCCCAGCUUGCUGGGUGGAUUAGUGGCGAACGGGUGAGUAACACGUGAGUAACCUGCCCUUAACUCUGGGAUAAGCCUGGGAAACUGGGUCUAAUACCGGAUAGGAGCGUCGACCGCAUGGUGGGUGUUGGAAAGAUUUAUCGGUUUUGGAUGGACUCGCGGCCUAUCAGCUUGUUGGUGAGGUAAUGGCUCACCAAGGCGACGACGGGUAGCCGGCCUGAGAGGGUGACCGGCCACACUGGGACUGAGACACGGCCCAGACUCCUACGGGAGGCAGCAGUGGGGAAUAUUGCACAAUGGGCGCAAGCCUGAUGCAGCGACGCCGCGUGAGGGAUGACGGCCUUCGGGUUGUAAACCUCUUUCAGUAGGGAAGAAGCGAAAGUGACGGUACCUGCAGAAGAAGCACCGGCUAACUACGUG